rnacentral:misc_RNA from 1 species
UUUCCGUAGGUGGACCUGCGGAAGGAUCAUUAACACUUUUUUGUUUCAAAACAAUUAAAACACCUGUACGAACUGUUUUUUGUUGAGAAAAAGACCAGAGGGGGAAAACCAGGGAACCAGGGAACUGGGAACUUGUUUCUCGUCUCGUUUCGUCCUAGUCUCUCUCUCUAUCUCUCUCUCUCACACAAUUUUUUUUUUAUUAUUAAAAAAAACCCCUUUAACCCACAACUUUUUAAAAGGAACUUAAAAAAAUAUAAUAAUAUUCAAUGUAUUAUUCAUAAAAUAAAUAGAGUAAAAACAACUCUUAACAAUGGAUAUCUUGGUUCUC